rnacentral:tRNA from 2 species
GGCUGGGUAGCUCAGUUGGUAGAGCAAGGGACUGAAAAUCCCUGUGUCGGGGGUUCGAUUCCCUCCCCAGCCACCA